rnacentral:lncRNA from 1 species
UAGUAUGUAAAAAGUUUUUAUAAAUUUUCUUCCUUUUCAUUUCAUUCUUUCUCUUUGCUUUUGCUGGAACUUCUUUUUCUUCUUACAAAUUCUAUGUUAAACUAAAGGAACAAUUAUAAUUAUUAUUACUCCCUCCGUUCCUUUUUAAGUGUCUCUUUUUUGAAAAAGUUGUGUUCCUUUUUAAUUGUCAUUUAUAAAGUUCAAGGUGGUAUUAAUUGCAUUUUGUCAAAUUUACCCCUAGGUAAU